rnacentral:rRNA from 1 species
GACGAACGCUGGCGGCGUGCUUAACACAUGCAAGUCGAACGGAAAGGCCUUUCGGGGUACUCGAGUGGCGAACGGGUGAGUAACACGUGGGUGAUCUGCCCUGCACUUUGGGAUAAGCCUGGGAAACUGGGUCUAAUACCGAAUAUGAUAACUGGCUUCAUGGUUGGUGGUGGAAAGCUUUUGCGGUGUGGGAUGGGCCCGCGGCCUAUCAGCUUGUUGGUGGGGUGGUGGUCUACCAAGGCGACGACGGGUAGCCGGCCUGAGAGGGGGACCGGCCACACUGGGAAUGAGAUACGGCCCAGACUCCUACGGGAGGAAGCAGUGGGGAAUAUUGCACAAUGGGCGCAAGCCUGAUGCAGCGACGCCGCGUGAGGGAUGACGGCCUUCGGGUUGUAAACCUCUUUCAGUGCCGACGAAGCGCAAGUGACGGUAGGCAUAGAAGAAGGACCGGCCAACUACGUGCCAGCCGCCGCCGUAAGAC